GGGGAAGCCUGUCUCCCGCCCCCCACUGGACCUCACAGUCUGGUAGGGGAGGUCAGGCCGGGUACCCAGGCUCUUAGAGCAGACGGAGUGAGCCAGGACCUUGGGCGGGUGAGGGGCACGUGCACCCAGAGGACUUGGGAGGGGGUUGGGGCCACCCCUCAGCUCCCAGCUGAUGGAGGUCUCCUAGCCCCAGGGCAGCAAGACUCAAAGGCCCCCCACCAGCCCCUGGGGCCCCCGGCUGGGGCUGGCUCCCUGGGCCCUGUUUCUGCCCCCACUUGGCUCCUGGACAGAGACAGAAUAGGAGGUAAGACGCUUGGAUUCAAGGCCAGACACCUCAACUCCAUGGCCCUCGCUUCCUCACCCAUAACACGCCCCCCUGGCAGGUUUGCUGGGAAGACUGAACCAGCCCCUCCAGGCCAGCACCCAGAGGUGGCCUGGCACUGUGUGGACGCCCCCUCACUGGCAGCCAUUCCCUGCCCUAACCCUGCACUUCAUGCCCGGAGCCGCCAUGGCUGAUGCGCUGCUUCCUGAGCUCUGGCUUUCCACAGCGAAUGGAAACUCUGAGAGGGACCGUGUCUCUUUGUAUCUCCCCAGCAACCAGCGAGGGCCUGGCACCGGGCUCCUGGGGACCGCCGGGCGGGCUGAAUUGUUCAGGGCUGGCGGCGGGGCUGAGUGACUCACCCCACAGGAGAGGUGCCCACGUUAACCCAGCGACUCCAUUCCAGGCAGCGCUUGUUCCCCAGCGCCGAAGCCAAGAAUGAAAAGGGUUUAGAGGGAGGGCAGACUGCCAGCCACGCAGUAUCUACAUCUGAAAGGCAGCCAUUCUGCUGGAAGAAAUGACAGUCGGGUGGCCCCCGGCUGGCCUGACUUCCCACACAGCCUGUUCCUUAGAGUCUUGAAAGCCAGCAAAACUCUUUCUUUGCAGAAAUACUGCCUGGGUUGCAAGCAGGGUCCCACCAGGGAUGCUCACACAGUGCUGCUGACUGAGGCUGGAGGGGAGGGAUUCCUCUCCCUGGCUCCAAGGGUCACCGUCAGAGCCUGAACUUUGGCUUUAGGCAGAACUUGGUUUACACCUUGAUGUCAACUACAUGCAAGUUACUAAACCUGCCUGUGCUCGAAGUCACCUACAGCCACCACCAUCCAGUCCUCUCCCCUUCCCAGGACACGGGAGUCUCAGCCCCCUGCAGUUGGGUGGGGCCACGGGACUAGUUCUGGCAAAUGAAAUGACAGAGGAAGUUCACUUCCUGGCUGAGUAAAAAACUCAAGCACAGGGGCCAGCCUGGUGGCACAGCAGUUAAGUUCCCACAUUCCACUUCGGUGGCCCGGGGUUCGCCGGUUCAGAUCCAGGGUGCGGAUGUGGCACUGCUUGGCAAGCCAUGCUGUGGUAGGCAUCCCACAUAUAAAGUAGAGGAAGACGGGCACGGAUGUUAGCUCAG
rnacentral:lncRNA from 1 species